rnacentral:tRNA from 1 species
GGCGGAUUAGCCAAUGAUAGAAUGG